ACUCUCACAUCAAAGAAGGUAAAUAACAACAGAAUCUUUCUCUAGCUAAAUAUCUGCUAGUGACCCAAGGAAGAUGGAGAAGAAGAAGAUGAUGAACAAAAAGAAGAAGAAAAUGAAAAUGAAGAAGGAAAAGGAAUCGCCGCCACCGACGAGGACGACGAGAAGAAGAAGAAGAAGAAGAAGAAGAAAUAGACUAUAAUGACGAUGUGGGCAACGACCAAGAUGAUGACUUCAACAAUGAAGAGGAAGCCAAAGAGAAAUGUCUGAUCAUAGGUAUCUGUCUUCAGAGGGAGGAGGGAUAAUUGUGCCAGAGUGUUGAGUCAUGAGGCUGGGAUUGGAGCAAGAUAUUCUUUCCUUCGUUCAAACACCAUGCAUGCUUAUCAUUUAGACCAGCAAUACACAAGCAAGGAACCAGGAAGGAACCGGAACCGGGAACAAGGAACCAGGACUUUAAACUCACUUCUGCUGAGAAGCUGCGUAACACUGCCACACCCACGGAUCAGCACACGCCGGCAAUGAGCCACCAAAUUGUGUAAAAGGACAUUUGUGCAGACAUAGACACUUCAUCAAGCUGACGGGAUGUGUGAGUGCAUGAAAUCGUUGAGACAAAACUGUUAUUGCAACGAUGCACUACGUUAACGUGAAACUGCCUUGUUAUCAUCUAUCCUCGAAUCCUCGAAUCUAUAAUCGAAUUGUUAAUCGAAUCCUGAGUAGUUUUUCAUCUAAUUCAUUUUUAGACAUCAGCAGUUCAAUAUUUGAAGUGUUUGACUAGACAUUUUAAUGACAAAGAUAGGAAAUUUGUUGCUAAAUUUGUUUUUAAUGUACCGUUUUCAUUUAAUUGUGGAUGCAAAUAUAAAAUGCAAAUUUGGCUUAUUACAUUUA